GCGCGCUCUGUGUCUGCUUUGGUUGUAGGCCUUCCUAUGUUUUAUYACAAACUACUUCAGUUUAAAGAAUGUUACUKUUGCGUCUAACGCAUUUAAAUACAACUUUCAGCAACGGAUCUCUUGGCUCUCGCAUCGAUGAAGAACGCAGCGAAAUGCGAUAAGUAAUGUGAAUUGCAGAAUUCAGUGAAUCAUCGAAUCUUUGAACGCACCUUGCGCUCCUUGGUAUUCCGAGGAGCAUGCCUGUUUGAGUGUCAUGGAAUUCUCAACUCUAUUUGCUUUUGUGAAUAGAGCUUGGACUUGGAGGUUYAUUGCCGGUACACCUGUGAUCGGCUCCUCUUGAAUGCAUUAGCUCGAACCUUUGUGGAUCAGCUAUYGGUGUGAUAAUUGUCUACGCCGUUGCUGUGAAGCAUGUUAAUGGGAUCGGCUUCCAAUCGUCCUUUACUUGGGGACAAUGCCUUUGACCUUGACCUCAAAUCAGGUA
rnacentral:rRNA from 1 species